rnacentral:rRNA from 1 species
AGUGAACGCUGGCGGUAGGCCUAACACAUGCAAGUCGAACGGCAGCACAGUAAGAGCUUGCUCUUCGGGUGGCGAGUGGCGGACGGGUGAGGAAUACAUCGGAAUCUACUUUUUCGUGGGGGAUAACGUAGGGAAACUUACGCUAAUACCCCAUACGACCUACGGGUGAAAGCAAGGGAUCUUCGGACCUUGCGCGAAUGAAUGAGCCGAUGUCGGAUUAGCUAGUUGGCGGGGUAAAGGCCCACCAAGGCGACGAUCCGUAGCUGGUCUGAGAGGAUGAUCAGCCACACUGGAACUGAGACACGGUCCAGACUCCUACGGGAGGCAGCAGUGGGGAAUAUUGGACAAUGGGCGCAAGCCUGAUCCAGCCAUACCGCGUGGGUGAAGAAGGCCUUCGGGUUGUAAAGCCCUUUUGUUGGGAAAGAAAAGCAGCAGGUUAAUACCCCGCUGUUCUGACGGUACCCAAAGAAUAAGCACCGGCUAACUUCGUG